GAUCAUGGCUCAGGAUGAACGCUAGCUACAGGCUUAACACAUGCAAGUCGGAGGGGCAGCAUGGUCUUAGCUUGCUAAGGCUGAUGGCGACCGGCGCACGGGUGAGUAACACGUAUCCAACCUGCCGUCUACUCUUGGCCAGCCUUCUGAAAGGAAGAUUAAUCCAGGGAUGGGAUCAUGAGUUCACAUGUCCGCAUAGAUUAAGGUAUUUCCGGUAGACGGAUGGGGGA
rnacentral:rRNA from 1 species